GACGAACGCUGGCGGCAUGCCUAAUACAUGCAAGUCGAGCGAACAGAUGAAGUGCUUGCACUUCUGACGUUAGUGGCGAACGGGCGAGUAAUGUAUCGGAACGUACCAUUGAGUGGGGGAUAACGUAGCGAAAGUUACGCUAAUACCGCAUAUUCUCUCCGGAGGAAAGCAGGGGACCGCAAGGCCUUGCGCUCUUUGAGCGGCCGAUAUCAGAUUAGCUAGUUGGUGGGGUAAAAGCUCACCAAGGCGACGAUCUGUAGCGGGUCUGAGAGGAUGAUCCGCCACACUGGAACUGAGACACGGUCCAGACUCCUACGGGAGGCAGCAGUGGGGAAUUUUGGACAAUGGGGGCAACCCUGAUCCAGCCAUGCCGCGUGAGUGAAGAAGGCCUUCGGGUUGUAAAGCUCUUUCGGCCGGGAAAAAAUCGCAUGGGUUAAUACCCUGUGUGGAUGAUGGUACCGGAAUAAGAAGCACCGGCUAACUACGUGCCAGCCGCCGCGGUAA
rnacentral:rRNA from 1 species